CCUACGGGAGGCAGCAGUGAGGAAUAUUGGUCAAUGGCCGAGAGGCUGAACCAGCCAAGUCGCGUGAGGGAAGAAUGUCCUAUGGAUUGUAAACCUCUUUUGUCAGGGAGCAAAGUCACCACCGUGGGGGUGUUGGAGAGUACCUGAAGAAAAAGCAUCGGCUAACUCCGUGCCAGCAGCCGCGGUAAUACGGGGGAGGCGAGCGUUAUCCGGAUUUAUUGGGUUAAAGGGGUGCUUAGGCGGGUUAUCAAGUAAGCGGUAAAAUCGUGGAGCUCAACUGCAUCCAGCCGUUGAAACUGUUGAGCUUGAGUGGGCGAGAAGUAUGCGGAAUGCGUGGUGUAGCGGUGAAAUGCAUAGAUAUCACGCAGAACUCCGAUUGCGAAGGCAGCAUACCGGCGCGCGACUGACGCUGAUGCACGAAAGCGUGGGUAUCGAACAGGAUUAGAUACCCGGGUAGUC
rnacentral:rRNA from 1 species